UUAACUCUAUUUUUUAAGGG
rnacentral:siRNA from 1 species